AUAUAAGUCGAGCGAAUGGAUGGGAGCUUGCUCCCGGAAGUUAGCGGCGGACGGGUGAGUAACACGUGGGCAACCUACCUGUAAGACUGGGAUAACUUCGGGAAACCGGAGCUAAUACCGGAUAACUUCUUUCUUCUCCUGGAGAAAGGUUGAAAGACGGCUUCGGCUGUCACUUACAGAUGGGCCCGCGGCGCAUUAGCUAGUUGGUGAGGUAACGGCUCACCAAGGCAACGAUGCGUAGCCGACCUGAGAGGGUGAUCGGCCACACUGGGACUGAGACACGGCCCAGACUCCUACGGGAGGCAGCAGUAGGGAAUCUUCCGCAAUGGACGAAAGUCUGACGGAGCAACGCCGCGUGAGUGAUGAAGGUUUUCGGAUCGUAAAACUCUGUUAUCAGGGAAGAACAAGUAUCGGAGUAACUGCCGGUACCUUGACGGUACCUGACCAGAAAGCCACGGCUAACUACGUGCCAGCAGCCGCGGUAAUACGUAGGUGGCAAGCGUUGUCCGGAAUUAUUGGGCGUAAAGCGCGCGCAGGCGGUUUCUUAAGUCUGAUGUGAAAGCCCACGGCUCAACCGUGGAAGGUCAUUGGAAACUGGGAGACUUGAGUGCAGAAGAGAAGAGCGGAAUUCCACGUGUAGCGGUGAAAUGCGUAGAGAUGUGGAGGAACACCAGUGGCGAAGGCGGCUCUUUGGUCUGUAACUGACGCUGAGGCGCGAAAGCGUGGGGAGCGAACAGGAUUAGAUACCCUGGUAGUCCACGCCGUAAACGAUGAGUGCUAAGUGUUAGAGGGUUUCCGCCCUUUAGUGCUGCAGUUAACGCAUUAAGCACUCCGCCUGGGGAGUACGGCCGCAAGGCUGAAACUCAAAGGAAUUGACGGGGGCCCGCACAAGCGGUGGAGCAUGUGGUUUAAUUCGAAGCAACGCGAAGAACCUUACCAGGUCUUGACAUCCUCUGACCACCCUAGAGAUAGGGACUUCCCCUUCGGGGGACAGAGUGACAGGUGGUGCAUGGUUGUCGUCAGCUCGUGUCGUGAGAUGUUGGGUUAAGUCCCGCAACGAGCGCAACCCUUAACCUUAGUUGCCAGCAUUCAGUUGGGCACUCUAAGGUGACUGCCGGUGACAACCGGAAGAAAGGUGGGGAUGACGUCAAAUCAUCAUGCCCCUUAUGACCUGGGCUACCACCGUGCUACAAGGGAUGGCAAAGGGUUGCAAGACCGCGAGGUUUAGCUAAUCC
rnacentral:rRNA from 2 species